UUCCGUUUCCUUCCGGCCUGCCCCGCCCAGGCCCCGCCUCCGGGCCCCGCCCCGCGACGCGGGAGCGCGCGCGCGCGUGCGGCAGGGGGCGGGUGGGGAAGCAGCGGCAGGCAAGCUCCCGGAGGCGAGGCUCGCGCGCCCGCCCCCGCCCUGGCCGCAGCGCCCACCCGGUCGGCCCGGCCCAGCCAUGAUCAAGGCCAUCCUCAUCUUCAACAACCACGGGAAGCCGCGGCUCUCCAAGUUCUACCAGCCCUACAGUGAAGAUACGCAACAGCAAAUCAUCAGGGAGACUUUCCAUUUGGUAUCUAAGCGAGAUGAGAAUGUUUGUAAUUUCCUAGAAGGAGGAUUAUUAAUUGGAGGAUCUGACAACAAACUGAUUUAUAGACAUUAUGCAACACUAUAUUUUGUCUUCUGUGUGGAUUCCUCAGAAAGUGAACUUGGCAUUUUAGAUCUAAUUCAAGUAUUUGUGGAAACAUUAGACAAAUGUUUUGAAAAUGUCUGUGAACUGGAUUUAAUAUUCCAUGUAGACAAGGUUCACAAUAUUCUUGCAGAAAUGGUGAUGGGGGGAAUGGUAUUAGAGACCAACAUGAAUGAGAUUGUCACACAAAUUGAUGCACAAAAUAAACUGGAGAAAUCUGAGACCUUUAUCUUUCAGUCUCCCAGACAGGACAGGUAGACAAGAAAAUUGAUUACUGCAUGAAGAAAAGGAAGUUUCCAGGUUCUUUCAAAUAUAUUUUAGCAGUGCUGCUUUUUCAGUUUUGCUUUCACAUAUUUUGUUUAUUUUUGGGUCUGGCAAUUUAAAAACAAAACCAAAAACAAAUCAUAUUCAUCCAUUAUUAUCUUUGUGAUUCAGGUGCUUGAAAUUCCCAAGAGUAUGUCUGUACAAGUCUUCUAUCUGUUUGGCCUCAUUUUGGUAUACCUGCAGACUUCAUUUUGUUUUCUUUCUCUGAAUUCUGUUAAUUUAUUUAAUCUCAUGGGAGAGAAAACAUGACCAUUCUUUUCUCUGUGGUACUUCAUUCUUUCAUCCAGUUCAUACUCUUAGCUGCUUUGGAUCCAUAUAUUUGUUUUUGUUAGUUGAGUGGCUGCUGCUUAGCUGCCAUGGUAGUGUGCUAGUGUAACCGAUGGAAGCAAGUUAUUUCUCCAGUGGAACUUCAUUCUUCUUGUGUUUGCUUUGUGUCUACUAUGCAACCCUAAAUCUUUAUGAGCUAUGAUGUACUGUUAAGAGUAGCUUAAUUUUACAUUUAAAAUUUUAUAUAUAUAAUAUACCAGUAAAAAGUGAAGUAAACUUAAUUACUGUAGAUGUUAUUGCUGGAAAAGUUGUUAGUAAAAGUUAUUUGCUUCAAGUAGUUCUUUAAAAACAAAACAAAAAACAAACAAACAAACAAAAAACAAAAACUUAGCCAAGAUGGAAAUUUCUUUCACCUCUGUCAGAAAACUGACUUUUUUUUUCCUAAUGGGAAAUUACCUUUUCCACAUUUUAUGUUUUAAUAAAACUAUUUCAGACUUGACAGUCAUGGACAUCUGAAAAUGAAAUUUAUUUUCUGUUUUGGUGUUAUUUGAGUAACACAGUCUUUUUGUUUAAGUCAUAAUUUAUCUUUAAACAUCUGUAACUCAUGUAAGCUUUACGAAGUGAUCAGUAGUCCUAUUUUUCUUCAUAUAUUCUGCAGAAUCUGAUCUCUUUAAGUAUUAGCUUAGUUAACGUUAAAAUGUAUAUUUCAUCUUUUACUGUCCUUUACUUUCCUGAUAUAUGUACUACACAAAAGCAUUGAACAUGCUUGAGAAAUAAUUUGAUUCUGCUAAUUCAUCUGCGUGGUCUAAAUAGCUCCCAUCCUCUGCAUGUCUAUGGCUUGCUGCAUAUGUUUAGAAGAGGUCUAGAUUGUUGCACUUAGAAACUUCUUGUUUUGCAUAGCACUAUGUGGCACAUAAAUGCCAGUGGCAUCAGUUUCUGUGGUGACUUUAUAUAUUUUCAUUAGCAGCUAAGAGUUGACACCAUCUUUGGUCAUAAAAAUGGUUUAAUGAAAUGUAACAGAAUGUUUCUCUUUUUCUUUUCCUGAGCUUAGUUAGCUAUACCAUCAGGGUUUUAUAGAAAACAAGGCUUCUUGGUAGUUAAUACAGAGAAAUAGAUCUCCCGUUUAUAAUGGUAAAAUAUAAAACCAGUAAAAUAAGACAUAUAUUCUUUCACAAUAAUAAAGUCUUUCAAUGUAUAGAUUUUAAAAUAUUUACAUUCAAAUAAUUUUCCAUAGUCAACUUUUCAUAUAUAAGCCUUUAUGGAAAUUCCACACUACAAUAAUAGCAAACUGAUCUUGGAAUUUGAAAAUUUACCAAUUCCUUUACCUGGAAAAAUUAUGGUAGCUCCAGAUUUUUACAGCUUUAAAAUAAUUUCUGUUUCAUUGCAGACAACAUACUUUUGAGAAAAGAAAACUUACAGGGUAUUAAAUCUCUUUGAACUGGAUUCUUCUUUGAUCCUAAGUCAUUCUAAAUUUUGAUAGCUAGGACUUUUGAAAUUAUCAAAUUAAAGAUCCUUUCAAUAUGCUAUAUAUUCAGUUAUAUUAUUUUGAAGAUACGAUAUUUAGUUAUAUCUUUAAUAUCUUGGGGGGUGGGAAGGAAGUGGGCUGUACCAUAAGCUUCAUUCUUUCAGGUAGGUACAAAUGAAGAGGUCAACCAAAUUUUCAGUCUUGCAUCAAAAACAACCUUCAUUAAAUUACAGAAAUUGAAUUCUCCCACCCUCUCUGGACUUGGGCUGGCUUAGCGGGAGCUCCAGCCCGUGCUGUAUCAGCUGUAAAGAAUAUGAAUCUUCCUGAGAUCCCAAGAAAUAUUAACAUUGGUGACAUCAGUAUAAAAGUGCCAAACCUGCCCUCUUUUAAAUAAAAUAUUAAAAAGGC